rnacentral:rRNA from 1 species
UACGUAGGAGACGAGCGUUGUCCGGAGUUACUGGGCGUAAAGGGUGCGCAGGUGGCGGCGCGCGUGGGGGGUGAAAUCGCCCGGCUUAACUGGGCGGGGGCCUUCCAGACGGCGUGGCUUGAGCAGCGGAGGGGGACGUGGAAUUCCGGGUGGAGCGGUGAAAUGCGUAGAUAUCUGGAGGAACACCGGUGGCGAAGGCGGCAUCCUGGACCGGCAUUGACGCUGAGGCGCGAAAGCCAGGGGAGCAAACGGG